rnacentral:rRNA from 2 species
UGCAGUCGAGCGAAUGGAUUAAGAGCUUGCUCUUAUGAAGUUAGCGGCGGACGGGUGAGUAACACGUGGGUAACCUGCCCAUAAGACUGGGAUAACUCCGGGAAACCGGGGCUAAUACCGGAUAACAUUUUGAACCGCAUGGUUCGAAAUUGAAAGGCGGCUUCGGCUGUCACUUAUGGAUGGACCCGCGUCGCAUUAGCUAGUUGGUGAGGUAACGGCUCACCAAGGCAACGAUGCGUAGCCGACCUGAGAGGGUGAUCGGCCACACUGGGACUGAGACACGGCCCAGACUCCUACGGGAGGCAGCAGUAGGGAAUCUUCCGCAAUGGACGAAAGUCUGACGGAGCAACGCCGCGUGAGUGAUGAAGGCUUUCGGGUCGUAAAACUCUGUUGUUAGGGAAGAACAAGUGCUAGUUGAAUAAGCUGGCACCUUGACGGUACCUAACCAGAAAGCCACGGCUAACUACGUGCCAGCAGCCGCGGUAAUACGUAGGUGGCAAGCGUUAUCCGGAAUUAUUGGGCGUAAAGCGCGCGCAGGUGGUUUCUUAAGUCUGAUGUGAAAGCCCACGGCUCAACCGUGGAGGGUCAUUGGAAA